rnacentral:rRNA from 1 species
UUCAAGAUAAGAUUUCCCACCGCAAGGGUAAGACCCCAGAAAGACUAUCUGGUUGAUAGGUCGAAGGUGUAAGUGCAGCAAUGUAUUUAGCUUAUCGAUACUAAUAGGUCGAGGACUUGACCAAUAUCUAUU